rnacentral:rRNA from 1 species
GGGUUGUGAGGUUAAGCGACUAAGCGUACACGGUGGAUGCCCUGGCAGUCAGAGGCGAUGAAGGGCGUGCUAAUCUGCGAUAAGCGCCGGUAAGGUGAUAUGAACCGUUAUAACCGGCGAUACCCGAAUGGGGAAACCCAGUGUGACUCGUCACACUAUCAUUAACUGAAUCCAUAGGUUAAUGAGGCGAACCGGGGGAACUGAAACAUCUAAGUACCCCGAGGAAAAGAAAUCAACCGAGAUUCCCCCAGUAGCGGCGAGCGAACGGGGAGGAGCCCAGAGCCUGAAUCAGCAUGUGUGUUAGUGGAAGCGUCUGGAAAGGCGCGCGAUACAGGGUGACAGCCCCGUACACAAAAGCGCAUGUGCUGUGAGCUCGAUGAGUAGGGCGGGACACGUGGUAUCCUGUCUGAAUAUGGGGGGACCAUCCUCCAAGGCUAAAUACUCCUGACUGACCGAUAGUGAACCAGUACCGUGAGGGAAAGGCGAAAAGAACCCCGGCGAGGGGAGUGAAAAAGAACCUGAAACCGUGUACGUACAAGCAGUGGGAGCACAGGUUUACCUGUGUGACUGCGUACCUUUUGUAUAAUGGGUCAGCGACUUAUAUUCUGUAGCAAGGUUAACCGAAUAGGGGAGCCGGAGGGAAACCGAGUCUUAAUUGGGCGUUAAGUUGCAGGGUAUAGACCCGAAACCCGGUGAUCUAGCCAUGGGCAGGUUGAAGGUUGGGUAACACUAACUGGAGGACCGAACCGACUAAUGUUGAAAAAUUAGCGGAUGACCUGUGGCUGGGGGUGAAAGGCCAAUCAAACCGGGAGAUAGCUGGUUCUCCCCGAAAGCUAUUUAGGUAGCGCCUCGUGAAUUCAUCUCCGGGGGUAGAGCACUGUUUCGGCUAGGGGGCCAUCCCGGCUUACCAACCCGAUGCAAACUGCGAAUACCGGAGAAUGUUAUCACGGGAGACACACGGCGGGUGCUAACGUCCGUCGUGAAGAGGGAAACAACCCAGACCGCCAGCUAAGGUCCCAAAGUCAUGGUUAAGUGGGAAACGAUGUGGGAAGGCCCAGACAGCCAGGAUGUUGGCUUAGAAGCAGCCAUCAUUUAAAGAAAGCGUAAUAGCUCACUGGUCGAGUCGGCCUGCGCGGAAGAUGUAACGGGGCUAAACCAUGCACCGAAGCUGCGGCAGCGAACGUAUCACUUAAAGCGAUUCAGCGGGUUACGAUUGACGGAGCGAAGCGACGUCAAAGCGUAUACAAAGUCGAGUCGGUUUAAGGAUACGUUCGUUGGGUAGGGGAGCGUUCUGUAAGCCUGUGAAGGUGUGCUGUGAGGCAUGCUGGAGGUAUCAGAAGUGCGAAUGCUGACAUAAGUAACGAUAAAGCGGGUGAAAAGCCCGCUCGCCGGAAGACCAAGGGUUCCUGUCCAACGUUAAUCGGGGCAGGGUGAGUCGACCCCUAAGGCGAGGCCGAAAGGCGUAGUCGAUGGGAAACGGGUUAAUAUUCCCGUACUUGGUGUUACUGCGAAGGGGGGACGGAGAAGGCUAUGUUGGCCGGGCGACGGUUGUCCCGGUUUAAGCGUGUAGGUGUGUGUUCCAGGUAAAUCCGGUUCACUUUAACACUGAGGCGUGACGACGAGGCACUACGGUGCUGAAGCAACAAAUGCCCUGCUUCCAGGAAAAGCCUCUAAGCAUCAGGUAACAUCAAAUCGUACCCCAAACCGACACAGGUGGUCAGGUAGAGAAUACCAAGGCGCUUGAGAGAACUCGGGUGAAGGAACUAGGCAAAAUGGUGCCGUAACUUCGGGAGAAGGCACGCUGACACGUAGGUGAAGUGAUUUACUCAUGGAGCUGAAGUCAGUCGAAGAUACCAGCUGGCUGCAACUGUUUAUUAAAAACACAGCACUGUGCAAACACGAAAGUGGACGUAUACGGUGUGACGCCUGCCCGGUGCCGGAAGGUUAAUUGAUGGGGUCAGCGCAAGCGAAGCUCCUGAUCGAAGCCCCGGUAAACGGCGGCCGUAACUAUAACGGUCCUAAGGUAGCGAAAUUCCUUGUCGGGUAAGUUCCGACCUGCACGAAUGGCGUAAUGAUGGCCAGGCUGUCUCCACCCGAGACUCAGUGAAAUUGAACUCGCUGUGAAGAUGCAGUGUACCCGCGGCAAGACGGAAAGACCCCGUGAACCUUUACUAUAGCUUGACACUGAACAUUGAGCCUUGAUGUGUAGGAUAGGUGGGAGGCUUUGAAGUGUGGACGCCAGUCUGCAUGGAGCCGGCCUUGAAAUACCACCCUUUAAUGUUUGAUGUUCUAACGUGGACCCGUGAUCCGGGUUGCGGACAGUGUCUGGUGGGUAGUUUGACUGGGGCGGUCUCCUCCUAAAGAGUAACGGAGGAGCACGAAGGUUGGCUAAUCCUGGUCGGACAUCAGGAGGUUAGUGCAAUGGCAUAAGCCAGCUUGACUGCGAGCGUGACGGCGCGAGCAGGUGCGAAAGCAGGUCAUAGUGAUCCGGUGGUUCUGAAUGGAAGGGCCAUCGCUCAACGGAUAAAAGGUACUCCGGGGAUAACAGGCUGAUACCGCCCAAGAGUUCAUAUCGACGGCGGUGUUUGGCACCUCGAUGUCGGCUCAUCACAUCCCGGGCUGAAGUAGGUCCCAAGGGUAUGGCUGUUCGCCAUUUAAAGUGGUACGCGAGCUGGGUUUAGAACGUCGUGAGACAGUUCGGUCCCUAUCUGCCGUGGGCGCUGGAGAACUGAGGGGGGCUGCUCCUAGUACGAGAGGACCGGAGUGGACGCAUCACUGGUGUUCGGGUUGUCAUGCCAAUGGCACUGCCCGGUAGCUAAAUGCGGAAGAGAUAAGUGCUGAAAGCAUCUAAGCACGAAACUUGCCCCGAGAUGAGUUCUCCCUGAGACUUUAGGUCUCCUGAAGGAACGUUGAAGACGACGACGUUGAUAGGCCGGGUGUGUAAGCGCAGCGAUGCGUUGAGCUAACCGGUACUAAUGAACCGUGAGGCUUAACCUUACAACGCCGAAG